rnacentral:lncRNA from 10 species
AGAGAACCACAGAGCCACAGAAAGAAGAGGCCCUGUGAAGGGAGACCCGAGGGAGAGGUGUUGCAGGGAAAAAGGUCGUGCAUCAGGAAGUGUCAUUUAAAAAGGACCUGAGUUGGGCUGAGUUAUCAGCAAAUACACGCCAUGGCUGUGCUCCCCACCCCCCACCGUACACUAGCAGGGCAGCAGCUCUGAUUGUCUAACGAGCAGCAGAGCCGCCCAGCAGCAACCACAUUAGGAAGGAAUCGGAAACCAACGCUCCGCUGGCUGUCACCCCUUACCCACUUGCUGUCAGACCACAGCCUGAGGCAGCCAAACCCAUUUCCUUGGGGAUCCAGCGCAAACCAGAGAGUGUGGACAGGCCGAUGGAAGAAUGUUGGACCAGCUUUAAGAAUGGGCUGUUCUAAGUCAUGAAUAUUGUAGGAAGCAGCUCUAAGGACCACAGGGCUGGAGGGUGCACAGGAAGGGGCCAGUGCAUACAGGUGAAAUAUUACUCUGUCACCCAGACUGGAGUCCAGUGGUGUGAUCUCAGCUCACUGCAACCUCCGCCCCCUCAAGUCCAAGCCACUCUCAUGCCUCAGUCUCCUGAGUAGCUGGGAUUACAGGCACCCACCACCACGUCUGGCUAAUUUUUGUAUUUUUAGUAGAGACAGGGUUUUGCCAUCUUGGCCAGCCUGGUCUCGAACUCCUGGCCUCAAGUGAUCUGUCCACCUCAGCCUCCCAAAGUGCUGGGAUUACAGAUGUGAGCCACCACACCUGGCCUAAAAUGUCAUAUAUUUUGAACUGACUGACUUCUCCAAAAACUUAUGGUUAUUAGUUGAGAGAGAAAACUUGAGAGAAAGUUUCCCUGCACUUGGAUGAGAGGAGAGCGGAACAGCCUGCAUCUCUGGUGCUGGGGAGUAUCAAAUAAGGGGAAUUGGGAGAAGGAUGGAGGCAACAGCGUAGCUCUUUGCCUUUCAAAAUUAAAAUGGGAUGCUGCUUUAUAUUACAAAUCUAAGGAAUUAGAAGAGCAGCAAACUAAGCAACUAAGUUUGUUCUCCUUGCAUAAACUUUAAAAAGCCAGCUUAAAAGUUCUCAAGCUUAAAAUUCG